AAUAAGAUUAUUUUUCAUUUUUCCGUGUCUAACGUUUGACCAUUCGUUUUAUUUAAAAAAAUUACGAUUAAUAUUUUUGUUCUUACUGGAUAAUAAAAGAAUAGUACUUUAUGCGUGACUAAUUUUUUAAGUUUUAUACAAAUUUUUCAAAUAAGAUGAAUGGUCAAACGUUAAACGAAAUAAG
rfam:Oryza brachyantha chromosome 10, whole genome shotgun sequence.